GACGAACGCUGGCGGCGUGCUUAACACAUGCAAGUCGAACGAUGAAGAAGAGAAACGCGAACUUCGGUUCAAAUUUCACUUCGGAUUAGUGGCAGACGGGUGAGUAACGCGUGAGCAACCUACCUCUUACAAAGGGAUAGCCUCGGGAAACCGUGAUUAAUACCAUAUGACACAUUCAUAAGGCAUCUUAAGAAUGUUAAAGCUACGGCGGUAAGAGAUGGGCUCGCGUCCCAUUAGCUAGUUGGUGAGGUAACGGCCCACCAAGGCGACGAUGGGUAACCGGCCUGAGAGGGUGAACGGUCACAUUGGAACUGAGACACGGUCCAAACUCCUACGGGAGGCAGCAGUGGGGAAUAUUGCACAAUGGAGGGAACUCUGAUGCAGCGACGCCGCGUGAGCGAUGAAGGAAUUCGUUUUGUAAAGCUCUGUUCUAUGGGAAGAAAAGGACUGUACCAUAGGAGAAAGCCCCGGCUAAAUACGU
rnacentral:rRNA from 1 species